AUUGAACGCUGGCGGCAUGCUUUACACAUGCAAGUCGAACGGCAGCGCGGACUUCGGUCUGGCGGCGAGUGGCGAACGGGUGAGUAACAUAUCGGAACGUACCCAGAAGUGGGGGAUAACGUAGCGAAAGUUACGCUAAUACCGCAUACGAUCUACGGACGAAAGUGGGGGACCUUCGGGCCUCAUGCUUUUGGAGCGGCCGAUAUCUGAUUAGCUAGUUGGUGAGGUAAAGGCUCACCAAGGCGACGAUCAGUAGCUGGUCUGAGAGGACGACCAGCCACACUGGGACUGAGACACGGCCCAGACUCCUACGGGAGGCAGCAGUGGGGAAUUUUGGACAAUGGGCGCAAGCCUGAUCCAGCAAUGCCGCGUGAGUGAAGAAGGCCUUCGGGUUGUAAAGCUCUUUUGUCAGGGAGGAAACGGCUGAGGCUAAUACCUUCGGCUAAUGACGGUACCUGAAGAAUAAGCACCGGCUAACUACGUGCCAGCCGCCGCAGUAAUAC
rnacentral:rRNA from 1 species